rnacentral:misc_RNA from 1 species
GAAAUGCGAUAAGUAAUGUGAAUUGUAGAAUUCAGUGAAUCAUCGAAUCUUUGAACGCACAUUGCGCCCAUUAGUAUUCUAGUGGGCAUGUCUGUUCGAGCGUCAUUUCAACCCCUAAGCACAGCUUAUUGUUGGGCGUCUACGUCUGUAGUGCCUCAAAGACAUUGGCGGAGCGGCAGCAGUCCUCUGAGCAUAGUAAUUCUUUAUCUCGCUUCUGUUAGGCGCUGCCCCCCCGGCCGUAAAACCCCCAAUUUUUUCUGGUUGACCUCGGAUCAGGUAGGAAUACCCGCUGAACUUAAGC